GAUGAACGCUGGCGGCGUGCCUAAUACAUGCAAGUCGAGCGAACAGACGAGGAGCUUGCGCCUCUGACGUUAGCGGCGGACGGGUGAGUAACACGUGUAUAACCUACCUAUAAGACUGGGAUAACUUCGGGAAACCGGAGCUAAUACCGGAGAAUAUAUUGAACCGCAUUGUGCAAUAGUGAAAUACGGUGUUUCUUGCACUUAUAGAUGGAUCCGCGCCGGAUUAUCUAGUGGGUAAGGUAACGGCUUACCAAGGCAACGAUGCGUAGCCGACCUCAGAGGGUGGUCGGCCAAAUUGGAACUGAGACACGGCCCAGACUCCUACGGGAGGCAGCAGUAGGGAAUCUUCCGCAAUGGGCGAAAGCCUGACGGAGCAACGCCGCGUGAGUGAUGAAGGUCUUCGGAUCGUAAAACUCUGUUGUUAGGGAAGAACAAAUGUGUAAGUAACUAUGCACGUCUUGACGGUACCUAAUCAGAAAGCCACGGCUAACUACGUG
rnacentral:rRNA from 1 species